rnacentral:piRNA from 1 species
UGCAAAGUACCAGGUGGAGGAUCCUG